CGCUCAGGUGGCCUAAUGGAUAGAGAGACCGCCUCGGAUGCGGGAGGUUGCGGGUUCGAACCCCGGCUGAGUCA